GAUGAACGCUGGCGGCGUGCCUAAUACAUGCAAGUCGAGCGAACUGAUUAGAAGCUUGCUUCUAUGACGUUAGCGGCGGACGGGUGAGUAACACGUGGGCAACCUGCCUGUAAGACUGGGAUAACUUCGGGAAACCGAAGCUAAUACCGGAUAGGAUCUUCUCCUUCAUGGGAGAUGAUUGAAAGAUGGUUUCGGCUAUCACUUACAGAUGGGCCCGCGGUGCAUUAGCUAGUUGGUGAGGUAACGGCUCACCAAGGCAACGAUGCAUAGCCGACCUGAGAAGGUGAUCGGCCACACUGGGACUGAGACACGGCCCAGAGUCCUAAGGGAGGCAACAGUAGGGAAGCCUCCGCAGUGGACGAAAGUCUGACGGAGCAGCGCCGCGUGAGUGAUGAAGCCUUUCGGGUCGAAAAACUCUGUUGUUAGGGAAGAACAAGUACAAGAGUAACUGCUUGUACCUUGACGGUACCUAACCAGAAAGCCACGGCUAACUACGUGCCAGCCGCCGCCGUAACAC
rnacentral:rRNA from 1 species